rnacentral:sRNA from 1 species
AGAUUCCACAACUCUGGGUUCAACAACAUUAAAAACAACAAUAGAAACUAGCACAGAUUCUACAACUCUGGAUUCAACAACAUUACAAUCAACAUCCGAAGCUAGCACAGAUUCCACAACUCUGGGUUCAACAACAUUGAAAACAGCAACAGAAACUAGCACAG